rnacentral:misc_RNA from 1 species
CCGAGUUGAUUCGGGCUCCGGCCCGAUCCUCCCACCCUUUGUGUACCUACCUCUGUUGCUUUGGCGGGCCGCGGUCCCCCGCGGCCGCCCCCCUCCCCCGGGGGUCGGGCUAGUGCCCGCCCAGAGGACCAUCAAACUCCAGUCAGUGAACGUCGCAGUCUGAAAAACAAUUCAAUAAACUA